GACCGGUUGCCUUGAUGAAGGAAUAGAUUUAAUAGACAAGGAAAAGAGGAGAAUCAAGAAUAAAUCCAAGGUUUUGGUCUAAACAAGUUGGGUACACUACCUAUAUAGAAGGCAAGUUGGAAAAGAGCUAGAUGAUCAGUUGCCCUAAGCCCAUAGCAACCUGAAUCACCAUGCUUAUAUUUUAGAAGUCCUUGUGGUCCUCUGUACCUAUGGGCUCUACAUCCAUUCAUUCAACCAUAGAUUGAAACUAUUUGGAAAAAAAUUACAUUGGUACUGAACAUUUACUGACUUUUUCCCUUGCCAUUAUUCCCUAACUGAUGCAGUGUAACAGCUAUUUUGAUAACAUUUACAUUUUAUUAGGUAUUAUAAGUAAUCUGGAGAGGACUUAAAGUACAUGGGAGGAUGCAUAAAGGUUCUAUGCAAAUAUGAGACCAUUUUAUACAGGGGACUUGAGCAUCUGCAGAUUUCAGUAUCAUCAUGGGUCCUGGAACCAGUCCCCCACAGACACUAAGUGUGUCUUAGCCACACUAUCCCAAAUACUGAAGUGGCCCCUUCUCUACAUUUUCUUUGUUCUCUUCUGUUUGUCUGCUGAUGCAACGUUGCUUCAUCUAGUGAAAGCUGUAUGAGGGAGAUCAGGGAUGAAAGGCUGGGAAUACGCUGGGUUUGCCUAUAAACGGAAUGGUGACAUCUGGAUCACAAAAUGAUAAUUAUCAAUUUAUUCUGCAAAUGAAGUCAUUCCGAGCCACAAAAGUACAUGCAGACAUUUUAUUGCAUGGGUUAUUAGGAGUGGAAAAUAAGCUCAAUGAUAGAUGGCCUCGGGGAUAUUUGAGGGUUUGGUAUUCAUAUGUUCUCAUUUUUGAAAUGAUGUAUUUUAGGCAGUAAACAUUUUAUGCCAAUUUCCUCUUAGUUGAUACUUUGUGACCAGCCACAACUAUAUUAAGUUAACGGUAAAUUUAGCCUGAUACUCAGGAAAUACACAUCAUUCCAGUUUUUAAAGACAUGUUUCUUCAAACAUUCAUUUGUUGGGAUGCUUUUGACUUUCUUAAAUUUUUAAGAUCUGCUGAUGUAAGCUUCUUGGAAAGCCCAGCACAGGUCCCCAAGGCUCCCUGAGUAAGUAGGGGCUAAACCUCUCAUUCACUGAUAUGAUGAGUGGUGCCAUGGGUAACAUGCCAGGAACAGUAACUUCCUUCAUGGGAAUUCACUUUCUUAAAAAUGCAGGAAAGAAUUUUAAAACCAAAUUCAGCCUUCAAGUUAAGUAAUAUGUUCUCUUAUUUGUUUUCUUUCAGCUUACAGAUAUCUCUUCAAAUAGGAAACUCAAAUGCCUGUAUGUAUAUCUUCUUAUACUUGGGCCAUUUGAUAACAUAUGUUUGUUUCCCUGUUGCAUUUUAUAUAUCUAUAAUAUAAAUGGAUUUGAGAGGCUUAGAUGGAAAUUUACCUGCUUGUAUACCUGACCAUAAAAUGAUGAUGUAAUAAAAUCUAUUAGCAUAUGGCAAUAUGAGAAUGCUAGAGUAUAAUUUUUUUUAUUGGUUGUUCAAAACAUUAUAAAGCUCUUGACAUAUCAUAUUUCAUACAUUAGAUUCAAGUUGGUUAUGAACUCCCAAUUUUACCCCAAAUACAGAUUGCAGAAUCACAUCGGUUACACAUCCACAUUUUUACAUAAUGCCCUAUUAGUAACUGAUAGGAAAGGUAGUAGAGUAUAAUUUUGUAAUGUAACUUUCUCUUUUGAGAAAUAGUACAGUCAUAAUAGCUCUAUAUUAUUGUUUAUUUUAAUCUUUUGGUACUGGGGAUUGGAUCUGGGAGUUCCUUAUCACUUAGCUAUCCCCAGCCUUUUUAAAUUUUAUUUUGAGACAGGGUCUUGCUAAAUUGCUGAGGCUGUCCUCUAACUUGUGAUCCUCCUGCCUCAGCCUCUUGCCAUGGGAUUACAGGUAUGCACCCAUGCCUGACUCUAUAGUACUAUUAAUGUAAUUAAUAUGCAUACAUUAUUAUAUAAAUCAUAUCCUUUAUACUGUCUUUUAUAAUGUCUACUCAAUGGAUUUUCCUGAAUCCCUUAGUAAAAGAGUCAAAAGAUGGGGGCUCUGGCCCCACCUUCUCUGUAGACCAACUAAAUAGUCAUUUAAAUUUUAUGUUCUUCAAUUUUGUCACUGGGUAGUAGGACUAAUAAUAUCUCCCUGGGAACUUAGUAUCAUCUGAUCAUUUCCUGGGGAUCACAGGAACUUUUUGGAAGAGAAAUACCAGUAUUGAUGAUUUGUCUCAGUGGGAGCAUUAUCACCACCGUGCAUGCAGGAGUGAUCAUGCCAUGACUAGUUACAAUUAUUUUAAGGCUUAAAGAGAUCUUUUUUUUUGUUCAUCUCCCUUCCACUCCCACCUAACUAUCUGUAGAAGCCGAGGACACCCACAUUCUGUGUGUGGCCAUCCUGAUCUUAAGGCCCAUUUCCACCCGAAGGGAAGGAGCUACCUGAAGAAAGCCAAGGAUGAGAGAGCCGGACUGCAGCCUGCCAAGUCUGUUCAUGAACAGGCUGAGUCCUCAAGAGAACUCUGCAGACCACCCAAGAAAGGGGAGCUUCUGGGGCUUAGCCGGAAAGGCAACAUCAGGCCCAAAAUGGCUAAAAAGAAGCCAACAGCGAUUGUGAACAUCAUCUAAAAGGGUGGGUGGCUCAGGACCAUCAUCUCUUGCCUUUGGGGAAUGUUGUUCCAGGGACCAAUGUAAUUGUCCUUUUGGGCACAUCCCACAGUAAGACAUUGGAAAAGCAAAGAUCAUGAUGCAUAUAAGCACCUCAAUUAACCAGAAUUUAACAAAGGGGAAUCUCAGUGAACCAGAAUUUUAUUAUAACCUCCUUUUAAAAGGUUUAAAAGAAAGAAGCAAAUUGUAGAAAGAACAACAACAAGAAGAAAAAUAAAAUGAAACAGUCUUAUCCAAAGGUUUUAGUAAAACAAAGCUCCAGCUGAUAAAAUAAUUGGCCCAGUCUCCAUUAGUCCUGGCACCUGGGCCCCUUAUGCAUUGGUCAUUAAUGUUCAGGCUCAGGGCCUCACAAGAUGUCAGACACUGGCAGAAAUUUCAUCUGUAGCCACAGCUUUCUAAAUUGUGAGGCCAGGAAUGGAAAAGUUCUGUUAAUAGCAAUGAAAUGAAGAUAUUUUUGUUUGCAUCUAACCUCCCCCUCUGUUAAUUUGAAAGCCUCCAAAAUAAGGAUUCCUGUUUCCCCCGAGUUUUCUUCUGGUUAAUCAAGAUUUCAAUCUUUAGGUUGUGUAAGGGACUUGUUCAGUCAGAUUUCAGUUCUCAUUUGACAGAUUGCUUUUCAGUUUGUUAGUUUGAGUCAGGUUUUUUGGUGUCCAUAGAUGCAUGUUCAGAUUUUGGCACACCUGUGCAGUCGUCUUUGGCUGAGUAUUCUGCACCCUCAAACCCAGCUGCCAGCCUCUAUCUUAAUAGCUGCUUUUGUGGUGUGGUUGAGGAGGGCAGUAAAACCCUUUUGAUCAACAACCAUCAUUGGUGCAGCAUCUGAGCACUUGGCAUGACAGUAGAUGGCACAGUUAGUGCAUUGGGACCACCCUGGAAGCACUGCAGCCCUCACCUAAGACCACCUCCCCUGGUAGUUAUCAGCAGCUUGCUCUCUAUUAACCAUGGGCAUGACUUUCUUUUUGCUGGCUUAACUUUUCCAAAGAGCAGCUCCUUUCACCUCCUGCUGCUUGUAUUAGCCCUUUUAUGGCUAAAAUAUACUUUCUUACCUUUCAACCAAGUAUCUGGGGUGUUCACUGUACAGUGUAUUCUAACAUAAUUUCUGAACUAAACAAUGCAUGUAGGAUCCAGAAUCUGACACCAUCUUCCCCAAAUAGUUUUUUUUCCACAAAGAACUAUCUUUUGAGAAUUUCCUGCUUUAAAAUUUUCUUCUAGAAUGAAUUUCCAUAAUUUUUUUCUCAUAAAUUUUUCAAUGCCAUUAGGUCUCAUGCUGAGUUUUCAAGUGCUGACAUCCUUCUGGAAACAAGAGCAAUGUUGUCCACAGAUAUAUACACAUAUACAUAUAUAUAAUGCACAUACAAGAUAUAUGUCAGGUAUAUUAAUAAUUUAUUUUUAAAUCCUCAUGGAGAAAGUGUGUGUUUGUGGUGGGUGGUUUUAAAACUAUAUAGGUUUGCUCAUGUAAAUUGAAUUUUCUUAUUUUAAAAAUUAAAACUGUAACCUAAUUAACACUAGUAGAAUUAUGAUUGUUAUUGCAAUAAGCAUCAGAUUAGCAGUAUAUUUAAAAUAGGUAAUAAAGCAGUUACUUAAAAUGACAGUAAAUCAAAAAGUGUAACUUCUUAUUUAAAUAUUUUGAACCUAUCAUAGUGAAGAUGUUGAUUUUUUUGAGUGUUCACUUUGACCUUUGGCUUAUGGGGGUGGACCAUUCGUAUGGUACGUAGGCAGCUAUCAAGUGGGAAAAAAAUAUUGCUGUGAAUAUCACUGUUUAGGCUAGCAUUGUAAAAAUGGUAAUGUUAUUAUUUAUUUGGAUACUUAAUCUCCUCCAAAGUUAUUUAAUAUUGAUGCUUCUAUCAUGGUUGCACUUUAGCUUUCCCAUACUAAAAAAUGACUUGUUAGUUGUAUUGCAUGCUCCUUGUCCUGUAAUGUGUGUGCAAAGACAACAACUUUUUAAAAAAUGCUAUAGCCAGAUUUUUUUUUCUGUUUCAUUUUAAAUAGCUCAUAAUUUUGAUGUUCCUUUAACAUGCCUAGAGGGCGUAGCAGCUCUCUUUGACAGUGGUAUCCAGUGAUCUUCAGAAAGCACCAUAGUGUCAUAAUCUAUAAACAUCACAUGAGGCAAAUAAUUUUGAGAUUUAUUAUAUUAAAAAAAUUUUUUUGAUAUCCGGGAUUGAACUCAGGGGCACCUAAGUACUGAGCCACAUCCUCAGCCCCUUUUUAUUUUUUAUAUUGAAACAGGGUCUCACUAAGUUGCUGAAGUUGGCUUUAAAUUUGUGAUCCUCCUGCCUCAGCCUCCUGAGUUGCUGGGAUUACAGAUGUGUGCCAUGGUGCCUGGCUUAAUUUUUUUUCUUUUUAAGUUCAAACUAAAUUAUAAUCCCCAUGCAAGGAAAUGUGUUACGUAUGUUAUACUUCCUUUGAGACAUAAAUUUACUGUUGAAAUAUGGGAGCUGGUUUAUUCAGAGGGAUACUCCAUUUACAUGCCAUGGCUUGAGCCGUGUGCCAUGGGACACCAUUUAUGUCCUAUUUUAAAAUAAUUUUCUUGUUUCCCUGGGCAAUUAACCUUAAAGUUGAGGCAGUCGCUUUUUCGAAGAAAUCACCAAAGUUUCUGGGAAACCGUGUUCAAAGUUAAACUGAAGAAUAAAUGAAUUUUAUUAUUUGUCUUUUAGGGGAGAAAAUUUUAUUUGAACUAUUCUUUCUUUUUUUUUCUUUCUUCCCAAAAUAAAUUACAGAUUCUUAUCUACAAAGUACAGGUUGCUUAGACACCGUUUUCCAGUAUUCUGCAGGGCCAGUCAGUUGUUGUACAGAAGUUGGAAUAUUCUGUUCCCAGAAUUUAAAGAAAAGUUUUUAGAUUAUGAAAUAUGAUAAUAAAGCUAUAUUUCUGACUAAUGUGUUGUUAUGUUUUGUCUAAUUCAACUAUUUUUGGGGAAUCCAACAUGUUGGUCUAUUGACAGCAAAAGAGUCCUCAAAUGAUUUGUUCGUUGUAUAUAUCAUCACCAUGGCCUUGUAAACUAGAAGCUUUCUGGAAAACUUAGCUUGACUGUUUUGUUCAUCCUUUGCCUAAAUCUGAAAGCUCUCUCUACAUAUGUUCACCCUG
rnacentral:lncRNA from 1 species